GGCGAUUUUAUGUUUUUACGGUUAUGUUUACUAAUGCAGUUAGACUAAUAUUAGGCCUAAAAUUAUUGACUCUGUUUGGAAUUGGACCACGAAGUUUGGGAAUGUUGGCAUCGGGAUCUGCUGGAGGCAACAAGAAAUUGUCGAGGGGGGAGUUAUUCUUUAAAUGAAUCUAUUGGAAGCUGAAAACUAUUUGUGAAAUCAAUGUACGACUUUCGCUGCAUCUGAGACAAAAACAAGAAUUGUCGAAUUCUAAAAAGUCAAUAAAAAAGGUGCUUGAAAGUAUUCAAUGCAAGUAGAAGCAAGGUACGGCUUUCCUGCGUGUCUCAAACAUAAGCAAGGUUUAUUUCCCGAUGACGAGCAUAAGCGAAUAAGAUGAAAGCGAAUCUCACGAAUCAAAAAAGAGUUUGUUGAAGCUCUGUCCGGAUUACCGAACAAGCUGUUGAAGCAACAACGGAUCUCACAAAUCAUCUAUCUGUCUGUUGAAUUAGCUGCGUUCUGGAUUGGAAGGCCUAAAAGAGAGUCGACAACCAGACCCGUUGAACAUUGGAAUAAAUGGUCGUUCCAUUUUGAUCAUAUAAAUCGUGUAUUUAAAUUUUUUUUAUAACCAUCCAUAUACCAGAGCUUGUCCGAUACCAAAGCUGGCCCCCAGCAGUGACCUAUCUGCGUGAAAUGGCGCCUAUGGCAAAGUUUAAAAGCGCCCUCUUGGUCGUUCACUGAAAUUUUUACUGUUUCUUGCUUUGGUUUACUUGUACGUUAUUAUUAUAAAGAAGUUGUUUUGUCAGAAUGAGGUUUGCCCUCGUCCAAAUGGCGCCCAUGGCAGUAGCCCUCUUGCCCUAUAUAUGAUUCUUCAUUUCGUGUCUGAUCAUGGCAGAAAAGCUUAAUAUCUCAAUGUUACUCUCUUUUAAACAACCUGUCCCUGCAUUUCCUUUGACCUUUAUCC